GUCGGUCUCCCCGAUGGCGAGAGGGUGUGAACCCGGUCAGGUCCGGAAGGAAGCAGCCGCAGCAUCCAACUUGGGUGUCGGGGUAAGGCGGGCUGG
rnacentral:SRP_RNA from 3 species